rnacentral:rRNA from 1 species
UACGUAGGGGGCUAGCGUUGUCCGGAAUCAUUGGGCGUAAAGAGCGUGUAGGCGGUCCGGUAAGUCCGCUGUGAAAGUCGGGGGCUCAACCCUCGAAUGCCGGUGGAUACUGUCGGGCUAGAGUACGGAAGAGGCGAGUGGAAUUCCUGGUGUAGCGGUGGAAUGCGCAGAUAUCAGGAGGAACACCAAUAGCGAAGGCAGCUCGCUGGGACGUUACUGACACUGAGGCGCGAAAGCGUGGGGAGCGAACAGG